CCAUUAUUCAACGACCGUGAGUUGUGGCGGCCGAAGCUUUAAAGCUCAAUCACCAAGUCUUUGUUUGAAAGGUACCGAAAAUAACUCCAAUAAAAUCUGACAACUAGUAGUUAUUCGAAAGGUCUAAAAAGUAAAAACCACCAUUAUUCAAUAAAUUUAUCUAAGUCUUUCUAAAGGUUGUGGUGGGCAAAUUUUCGAAAAUCCAAACCCAAUUGAACAUGUAGAUUUAUCUUUGUACCAUAGAAAAAUAUAUUUUAAAGCAGUAGCAGAAAGUAAGUUGAGAGUUCUUUUUGUCAAUUCCAUUGAAUUAUGUCUAUCUAAGCUGUUAUGCCGUUUGAAAGAAUAUAAAUAUUUAGUAUUAAUUUUAACCUACGAGAGAACGAGGGAGAGGCAAGUAAACCUUUUAGACUAACAAGGAAGGGGGGAAAAAAAGAAAAAAAAGAAGCAAGAUUCCAUUGGAUAAAAUAUAAUUGUACAAAA
rnacentral:lncRNA from 1 species